GCCCCAUGUCGCACGUGCCCGUGGGCGUCCCCCGGCCCUCAAAUGCGAGGUCACCGGGACGGUACCUGGACGUAACACACCCAGUCGGUUUCGCCGCAUCGCGGAAUCGAGGACGCCUUUAAGCAACGACGGUCCGGGCCUUU
rnacentral:sRNA from 1 species